AGUCUAUUAAAACCAAAAUACAAUUCAGAUUUUUCUCAAUAUAGGUUAAAGCUAUAUCAAAAUUGAAAGUGUAAAAUUGUCAACCAUUUGCUUAUAGAAAUAAAAUUAAAUUUCAAUAGAUUAUCUUCAUUUUAAUUUUGGAUAGAAAUUCAAAAUCUGUAGUAAAGAUGGCGGAGAAUAUUUGUACAGUAUUUGAUAGGGGGUGCUUCCACUGUGCAAAAUCGCAAAAACCUGGAAAUGAAAAUAGAAAAACUCGUGUCUCAAAAAUGGUCUAUCACUACCCACAGAUCGGCAGUCUUCUUAUUCAGGAAACUACAACUCAGGUGGAGAAAAUUCCUAAGGAAUUUCCGAAGAAAGUUAUCAAAACUGAUAAACCAGUUGAGGUAUCAACAGUGGGCAAACAAACUCCCAACUUCGACCUUGAGCAUGAACAGCCGGUGAAGUUGAAGCACUGUUGGUCUGGAAUCACAUUCAUCGAAGAAAAGUAUGCAAGGGAAAGAGAGAAUGCAUAUAAUGCGAAUCUCAAAAUUGUUCUGGCCAAUAGGAGACGCUGGACUAGAAUGCAACGAUCUAUUGAAAGACAAAUUCGAAGCAGACAGAUGAAAAUUUGUGGACCCGAAUGGUAUCAAGAUUUGUCAUAUAAGCAGCUAUCACUCCUUGAAGCGUUCCCUGAUGUACUUAAAAGGGACACCGAAGAAAAAUCAGUUUCUAAUACAAGGAAAUUUCUAAAAGACUUGGGUAUUAUGCCAUUGCCGGAUAACGAAUUCCUUCAAGAACUACUGGAAAAAUGCAAACGGGACCCUCUGUACUAUUUUGAUCAGAUAAGAAAAGAUAUACGUUACCGAGAGAAUCAACGACUUCAAGCCUUACGAGGGGAAAAAGAGCCUAUUAGUGAUGUUGAAAUAGCCAAGAGGAAAUAUUCGGUGAGCGAGAGAAUAUUGCUAUCGGCAAUGUUCACCAUCCACUUACCGCUCUUAUUAUUCAAGCUUCACCUUAUCCUCCCACAAGUCACCACAAAAUCAAAAACUGAGGUCAACAUUUUGUCACCUUUACCAAGUGAAAUGGUGUCAUCUCUACCCGAGCCUAAAAAGAAAUGGUUCAAAUCUCGAAAACCAGAUGCCAUUAGCUUUGACGCUAUUGAUGAGUCAUUUGGAAUAGCAGAACCGAAAACUGUAAAAGAUGAUCAACUAUCCAACGAUCAGGAAUCUUUAUGUGACUCUACAGAUGACUUCAAAUGCAAACAGAAAACUCCUUCAUCGUUAUCUGAUCUGGAAAUGACUGCCAAGUUAGUUGAUGUCUCAGUUCAGACAGACAUACAUGAUACUGAGACUACCACCCAUCCUACCCAAAGCGACCUGAACGUAAAAGAUGGCAAAAUACCUGAAAAACUCGAUUUGUCCAAUCUAGAAAAGAAAAAAACAAGUGUAACAGGAUUUGUUUCGAUAAAAGAAAAUGAAGAUAUGGAUAAUAUUUCUGCAAGCAAGGGAAGCUCGUCAGUUGAAGGAAGUGAUAACAUCAAAAAUGAAAACGAACAACUAGAGGAAAUCUCUCUGAAUCCUCACACGGAUUACGAGAAAGUCAUAGCUAUAAUGAUGGCGUCGAUAGUAAGAGUUCCAACUGAUACAGAAAGCGAGAAGAGAGACAAAAUAAAAGAAUGUCUGGAAACUUACAACAUCGAAGGGCUUUAUGAGAUAUUCGGUAUUGAUACUCAACAGAAAAUUAAUGGCAAUAAGGAAGAAACUGGUGGAAAGGGCCGGGCUAAUCAUAUAGAAACGCCAAGCGUGCUGGCAACGGGGAGUGAACAGACUCCGCCAGGCUUCGAAAGCAAUGUGGAAUCGACGGCGAGUGAGACAAAGCUGGCUUCCACUGAAACGGGGCUCGAGAAACUCAUUGCUCAACUUAGAGAAGCAAUUCUGCAACAGCCGAAGAAGAAGCAGCUCAAGAAAAACUCCUGGGAAACAGUAGAAAAGCUUGGAGUGUUCUCAUGUCAAAUAGAAGUUGUCUUUCAACACAAAAGAUUCCACGCUGCAUACUGACAAGCAAGCAAUUGGCCAGCUACACGUGGGAUAGGAAGAAAUGGGCCAUGAAUAAGAUUAACACUGCCUUGAACAAUCAUAAACGAAACAUUCGUCAAGCGAUGGUGGAUGAUGCUCGAAUUCUGUACAGCACAAUGGAUGAUUUUCAUUACGAUUCAAAACUCAAUACGAACAUUCGGAAAACAUUCUUCACUUAUCUGCCUUCGGCUGAGACUGAGAUUUAUGUCUAAAUUUCUUCAAAGCCAAUAACUUGAACUUGUCAUAAUGGAUGAGAUACCUUUUUGUCAUUGUUACCAGUUUCAUAGUAUUAUGCGUAACAAUAAUAACCUCUAUUAGCCAAUCUAAGAACAAUAUUUUAGGAUAUUUUUUCAUGGAAAUAGGUUCAUUAUAUACCUCUUAGACCUAUAUUUUUGUUGAAUUUUAGUUUAAAAAUUGAUUAAAAAAUAGC
rnacentral:misc_RNA from 1 species